GCCGCCAUGGUGAAAUUGGUAGACACGCUGCUCUUAGGAAGCAGUGCUCAAGCAUCUCGGUUUGAGUCCGAGUGGCGGCA
rnacentral:tRNA from 1 species